GAUGAACGCUGGCGGCGUGCUUAACACAUGCAAGUCGAACGGAAAGGCCCUGCUUUUGUGGGGUUCUCGAGUGGCGAACGGGUGAGUAACACGUGAGUAACCUGCCCUUGACUUUGGUAUAACUUCAGGAAACUGGGGCUAAUACCGGAUAGGAGCUCCUGCUGCAUGGUGGGGGUUGGAAAGUUUCGGCGGUUGGGGAUGGACUCGCGGCUUAUCAGCUUGUUGGUGGGGUAGUGGCUUACCAAGGCUUUGACGGGUAGCCGGCAGGAGAGGGUGACCGGGCACCUUGGGCCUGCGAGAGGGACCAGACUCCAAUGGGAGGCAGCAGUGGGGAGUAUUGCACAAUCGGCGGAAGCCUGAUGCAGCAGCGCCGCGUGCGUGAUGACGGCCUUCGGGGUGUAAACCGCUUUCGCCUGUGACGCAGCGUGAGUGACGGUAAUGGGUAAAGAAGCACCGGCUAACUACGUG
rnacentral:rRNA from 1 species